CCUACGGGAGGCUGCAGUGGGGGAUAUUGGACAAUGGGGGGAACCCUGAUCCAGCGACGCCGCGUGAGUGAAGAAGUAUUUCGGUAUGUAAAGCUCUGUCAGCAGGGAAGAAAGAAAUGACGGUACCUGACCAAGAAGCCCCGGCUAACUACGUGCCAGCAGCCGCGGUAAUCCGUAGGGGGCAAGCGUUAUCCGGAAUUACUGGGUGUAAAGGGAGCGUAGACGGUUAAGUAAGUCUGGAGUGAAAGGCCGGGGCCAAACCCCGGGACUGCUCUGGAAACUAUUGAGCUUGAGUGCUGGAGAGGUAAGCGGAAUUCCUAGUGUAGCGGUGAAAUGCGUAGAUAUUAGGAGGAACACCAGUGGCGAAGGCGGCUUACUGGACUGUAACUGACGUUGAGGCUCGAAAGCGUGGGGAGCAAACAGGAUUAGAUACCCGUGUAGUC
rnacentral:rRNA from 1 species